CGGCACUGUAUCUCCCUCACGUCCGGCACUGGCAGAUAGCAGAGAGGCGAGAGUGCCUGACUGACAGAGGCACUGCCCAGAGAAGAAGGCACUGUACCAAGGCACUGACGCAACCCAGAUACAGACACACGAACACACAGGACUGGACAUGGAGAGACGUGGGGGGGGAUACCAUGUCUCUACCUAGGAUACGUCUGUCUCCAUUCCACCUUGAGGUAUUAGUCUGGUUCUUUGGCUGUUUCAGUAGAGUGAGGUGCUGGUGUUGUCCCCUCCAGUUUCCGUCCUUUGCAUCCUUCUGACUCAUUUUUUGCAGUUUUAUCAGUUAUCUACCCUUCAUCUGGUUCUCUUAUCUCCUUUUUGGCUAUAGAGUGAGGGAUUUCUGAGGUGGUUUCUGUUCCCUAUAAGUCUCCCAUCCUUUGCAGCCAUACCUCAGUUUCAUUCCUCAAUCUCUCCCUGUCUGCCGCUGUGUCACUCCCUACCUGUGACUUAAUGCUUGAGGGACGUUUAAAGACCCUUUCAACUGGAUAUUCUGCUGGCCUGGCAUCUUAGGUCCCUGAAGAUACAAGAAUUUAAAUAUGCCCCAUCAAGUCGUUUUCUGUGAAUUAGUUAAGUGUAGUCAAUGAUAUGCAUGGUAGUUUUGUAACCAGACUUGAUGGCAGAGCUCUUCACACUUAGAUGUAGUUUGAGGGUGUCACUAUUGUACUACACCAAUCAUGCUGUACUUUAAAUAAGGCAAGUACAAUGAUUGGCGUCUGUUCCUCUCUCAGCCAGGCCAGAAUGUCUCUUCUACCACUUGUGACAGUCUUAUUCCAGUUAUGUAGUGCUUCAAAUAAGGCAAGUAUGUGAUUGAGGUUUGUUUCCCUCUCAGCCAGGCCAGAAUGUCUCUCUGAACACUUUCCAGCACCUUGUCUUGUAGUGUUGCAGUUUGUGGCUUACCAGUUAUGCAGUGCUUCAGACAAAUAUGGCAAAGUACAGCCACAGUCAAGGUCGUGUUCUGCCUUUGUUGCCGAGUCGUGACCAGCUCAGAUUCGUCACUCCUCUCCUCAUUGCUGUUCAAACCUUCAAAGCAACACGACUCACGACUGCAGCUGUACGUUACCAGGGAUUUGUGUUUGCUUCCCACUCCGCCAGGCCAAAAUCUCUCUCAACACUUGCCAGCACCUUGUCUUGUUGAGUUGCAGCACCAGACAAAUAAAUCCAUAAUAACUUUUUUUUCUUUUAAUUUCUUAGAAGUUAAAGGCUCAAUACAAAUUCAGCAUGAACACCUAGUUACUAUUAUUUUUUUAUAUAUAUUUUUUUUUGAGACAAAAGAGGAGUGGAGUGCUUGCAUUAUCAAAGAGAUAGUCACUUUAUGUACACAAAAUAAUAAAAUAAAGAGAAACCGAGUCAUAAUAAUAAUAAUAAUAAUAAUAAUAAUAAUAAUAAUAAUAAUAAUAAUAAUAAUGAUGUUCACAAAA